AUUGAACGCUGGCGGCAGGCCUAACACAUGCAAGUCGAACGAGUGGCGGACGGGUGAGUAAUGUCUGGGACACUUCCGGAUGGAGGGGGAUCACCACUGGAAACGGUCGCUUAUACCGCAUUCUCUCUUGUGCGCCUAUAUGGGAUUAGCUCGGUGGUGGGGUAAAAGCUCACCUGGGCGACGAUCCCUAGCUGGGCUGAGAGGAUGAACAGCCACACGGGAACUGGGACACGGUCAAGACUCCUACGGGAGGCAGCAGUGGGGAAUAUUGGACAAGGGGCGCAAGCCUGAGGCAGCCAUGCCGCGUGUAUGAAGAAGGCCUUAGGGUUGUAAAGUACGUUCAGCGGGGAGGCGUUACCCGAAGAAGAAGCACCGGCUAACUCCGUGCCAGCAGCCGCGGUAAUAC
rnacentral:rRNA from 1 species